CUCCGUGUCCGUGCUUGACUUGUGCGCUCUGCUUGUCCCCAUUUUAUCAUAGUGAACUUUGGCUCGUUUGGCAUAAUUUUUGUUUUUUACUUCUAAGACCUUUUCAAAGAAGCCACUUUAAUUUUUAUUUAAAAAUAAUUUUUUAAAAACACUUUAGAAAUAAAAGCCACCUCAUAUUUCAAAAAUGUUUUUAAAGAAAACCACAUUGAACCGACUUCCUCUAAAAGCUCUACUAACUGGAAGAAACACAACUAUAAAAUUAGCCAAACUAGUCUAAAAGCAGUUUUUAAAUCUCAAAAACUUCUUUUGAUUCCUCCCAGCACAGUCACAUUAUACACUUAUCCUCAACUUUUGAUUUGAAGAGUCCAUCUAUCGAUUAUUUUCAGCACGAGAAGUCUUUGCUUGAUUAUCUUAUUUCUAAUAUACUUUCAACCCAUCAAUAUUGUCCCCCUGGCAAUAGAAAUCCCAUCCUUUUUAAUGAAUUUGAGCAUCUAAGAUCCCAUCGGACGAGGCAGCAUCGGUUUAAAUUUUUAUCUCACCAUGCAUAUUACUAAUCCGAUGGCAUCUUAGCGAACAAUAUUUCAGGAAGCAAUAU
rnacentral:lncRNA from 1 species